CCUGUUCCUGUUGGAACCUCACGUCUGGUCUCAACUUCAAAGCCAAGACCAGCGAAGAACACUGCUUCAUUGUUUUUCCAGUUUUCAUAUUGAGAGAGCUCUGAGGAGGCUCAUUUCUGACCUGAGAAGCCACCGGAGCAUCUCUGGGGAGAGGUAGGAGAGGCAGAGACAAGGCCGGAC